UACAGAGGUCUCAAGCGUUGUUCGGAUUCAUUGGGCGUAAAGGGUGCGUAGGCGGCGCGGUAAGUCGGGUGUGAAAUCUCGGGGCUUAACUCCGAAACUGCAUUCGAUACUGCCGUGAUUGAGGACUGGAGAGGAGACUGGAAUUUACGGUGUAGCGGUGAAAUGCGUAGAUAUCGUAAGGAAGACCAGUGGCGAAGGCGGG
rnacentral:rRNA from 1 species